UUCUUUAUUUCUUUUAUCCUACUAAUGUCUUGCAGAAAUGAAACCUAGUAAUUCACUAUAAAGAAGUCACUCUUCCAAGAGGGAAGUCCAUGAAGUUGUUGGAUACCUUGUAAGAACAUAUAAUAUGGAAACAAAAUUAAGGGGAAGACUGUACUUCUCUGGCCAGGAUAAGUUCAUCAGACUGGACAUAAGCAGAAAUCCCUUUCCACAUAUGUUGAAAUGAGGCAUUGCCGGGAGCACACAAGAAGAGUCAGCAUUGGCACAGGCUCUCCCCACAUGCAGUGACCCCAGAGUUGACUGAUGCAUGGAUUACCACUUUGGGGGCCAGAUAGGUGAAGUGGAGUAUCCUUGGGGCCCUCAGAAAAUAAACACCAUUCUCACCUCCUUCUUAACUGGGUCUGCACACAAGCAAUCUGAAGAUUACUCGUGAUGUCUGCUUCAUGUCGAUGUAAAGUACAGGUGCAAUUCUAAUGAAAAAAAAAAAACUAACAUUUUGGACUUCAAUAGCUACUUUAAUUAUUCCAGACAUAGCUGGGUGAGAUGGCCCACACCCAUAAUUUCAGCACUCAGUUGCAGUGGAAGUGGAGCGGGAAGGUUGAG
rnacentral:lncRNA from 1 species